GAUGAAGAACGUAGUGAAAUGCGAUACUUGGUGUGAAUUGCAGAAUCCCGUGAACCAUCGAGUUUUUGAACGCAAGUUGCGCCCGAAGCCAUCAGGUUGAGGGCACGUCUGCCUGGGCGUCACAUAUCGUUGCCCUAUGCCUAUUGCAGUGCAAUAGGAAUUUCUAGGGCGAAUGAUGGCUUCCCGUGAGCGUUGUUGCCUCGCGGUUGGUUGAAAAUCGAGUCCUUGGUAGGGUGUGCCAUGGUAGAUGGUGGUCGAGUUAGAACGAUACCGAUCAUGUGCAUGCUCCCCAAAAUAUGGCCUCUAUGACCCACACGCGUCUUUUGACGCUCAUGACGAGACCUCAGGUCAGGCGGGGCUACCCGCUGAAUUUAAGCAUAUCAAUAAGCGGAGGA
rnacentral:misc_RNA from 1 species